UCUUGAAAUUUAAAGAAUUUGGCGGUAAUUUAGUCUUGUUGGAGGAACUUGUUUUUAAAUCGAUAAUCCCCGUUAAAUUUUACUUAUUUUAGAAGUUUGUAUACCGUCAUUAUCAGGUAAAUUUUAAAGAAUAUUAUUGAAAUUUAUAAUUAAAAAAAAUUAGAUCAAGGUGCAGCUAAUAAAUAAGUUAAAAUGAGUUACAAUAAAUUUAUUUAUACGAAUAAAUUAAUUAAUAUUGGUUUAUGAAGGAGGAUUCAAUUGUAAUUUAAUUUUAAUAAAAUUAAAUGAUAUAAGUACUAAAUUAUGUACAUAUCGCCCGUCGCAAA
rnacentral:rRNA from 1 species